AUAAAAGAAGGGAAACUUUUUUUUUCCUUUCUUCCUUCUUCCCUCCCCAUUCUCCUUUUUCUUCUUCUUUCUUUCUCCCACCCCUCCCCCGUCACCUUCCUUCUUGUCCUGUGCCUGCCACCACCUCCAGCCGCUGGCAACUCCCUCCUUUUCUCCUCCUCCCUUGCCCGUGCUGCCUUCUUUUCCUCCCCACUCGCUGCCGAUAUCAAGCUUGGAAAAGGAGUUGUUGUCGACGAAAUAACCUCCACCCGAGGCAUAAGAGCAGACUGCAAAAUGCGGUAAAACUGAUGAGGCGACAGUAGAACAUGUCACCUGAUGGGUUGCAUCAGGACCGCGUGUGAUGGAUUAAUCAGAGACAAGUAGUAAACUAUUAUUUUUAAAAUUUGCCUUGGUCGAGUACAACUCUCUAGGCUGUGAAAAUUUGACUGUCGGAGGAAGGUCUCUGGUUGAUUGUUGCUCUCUCGCGCCGACUUAUUUAGAAAGCAAGUGACCAAACUGGAUUUGAAGAUCCUGGUUGAGCUUCACAUUAUGGCGCCAGAACUAUUGGAAUAAGAGAGACGAAAGACUACUAGUAUUGGGGUUAUGUAUGAUGCUAUUGGUGUUAGACUUCAUGCUGGUCGCCAAGCUGAAUUUUUCUGCAGGAAUUUGAGGCUUUAGGCACAGUGUGAAGCUUAAAGUUUUCUGUUAAUUAAUUUCUAGCCGGUAAUAUGAAAGAACAAGAACAAGACCGUUGCCAACAAUCACAACCCACCGCUGAUGGACCUUCUUCUUCUGCUUCACCUUCACCUAGGCGACCACCAGCACCAGCAUCCCCACCACAACAGCAGCCGGUUCGAGAAAGAAGAGUAGCAGUUGCACAUCCACACACACUUGCUCGACAUCGCCUAUGGAUAUUCUAAAAUGCUGAUCAUGAGAGCCGCUUCCAAGUCAUGCGAUGGAAGCAAGUAACGGCCGGGCGAUUCAUUGAUUUUGUAUCCUUGGAGAAAGUUGCAUUGGCUCAGGAUGUUCGUGCACUAUUUGACACAUUGCCUUACGCACGCUUCUUCGAUAUCAUUGAGCCUACCUACCGUGAGCUAACCAUUGAGUUUCUAAGCACCUUCUUCCUACAACAGCAGAUCACAAACUGGCAUCAGCCUGAUGCAAUUUACUUUAGACUUGGAGGAAGGGAGUUCUCGAUGUCAGUUCCGUAGUUCGAGAUGCAUUUGGGUUUAUGGACUGAGCAGGAGAUCUCAGGCGAGGAAUAUCAGGGAUGCAUCUAUGUCCACCCCAUCUCUUACAACGCCAUGUGGGAUUCAAUCGUACUCGAGCCAGAACCGUACUAUCCCAGCAGGUCUAAGGCAUCUAGCCUUCCAGAUCAUCUUCGCUAUCUUCAUGCACUUUUAACUUACACCAUUAUGGGCAGAGGAAAUAGCUUUGGAGCGGUCAUAGAGACCGAUGUAUUUAUUCUUUGGGCUAUGCAACACCGUAAGAAGCUUAACAUGGGGUAUUUGGUUGCUUGUCAAGUACGAUCCUUCAUAGUCGACGCCCAGAACAAAAUGCAUUGUUGCUUUGGCCCAUAUGUGACUAGAUUGGCUAAGAGAUUGGGUGUACUGGACGACUGUCUAGCCGAUCUUUCUCAGAUUGGCGACAUUACACCAUUAGGGGUUAGACAUAUGAUCAACAUGUAGAUGGUCACGGCCAACCAACAUCCAUAUAGACUUGAGUACAGGCUUGUUAGUGCAAUAGUGAGAGAUGCUAGAGAGGCAGCAGUUAGAGGAGAUCAGGACCCUACUACCGAGAUUCCAGAUGUUAGGAUUCCUAACCCUGCUAGAGUAUUCAAGCCUUCACCUAGAGCUUAUUCUUCUUACUUUACAGGGACAUCGAGUGCUCAGAUUGGUGCUUUGGCUUACCGAUUAGAUCAAAUGUGUGAUUUACAGCAGGAUCACUAUACUGAGUUUGUACAGUACAGGAAGGAGUUUGGGCAGUUUCAGGAUGAUACUAGGGCACAACUCCAAGGGUUAACUAAUAUGCUCCAGCAGCUUAUGCAUGGAUUGGAUAGGCAGGCCACCUAAACGGACCUCAUGGCGGAGCAGACAUAAAAGAUGGCGGAUUCAGGAGCACAAUCUCACCGGUUCUUUGAUGACAUGGAGUUUGAUUUAGGAGGUUGUUUUAAGGAUCCUAUGCCAUUACCACCGCCACCUCCCUCAACGCCUUCCCUUUCUCCUUACCUUCCAGCCACUAAGGAUGUGCCUCCAACAGACUACCAGUAGUGAAAUCUUAUGUUCUAUUUCUUUUCCUUUUCCUUUUUAUUUUCUUUCUUUAUUUUUCUUUUGCAUUAUUUAUUUUAUUUUAUUUUUUUUUCAUCUUAUGUUCUUUUAUUUGAAUACUUUGCUUUACCCUUAUUAUAUGUAUAUUUGAUAUGAACUUCACUCCUAUUAUGUGUUAUCUAUGUUAUAUACCCACUCUUUCCAACACUGAGGACAAUGUUCAAUUCAAGUAUUUGGUGGGAAUCUGCGGUUUUAUUA